rnacentral:misc_RNA from 1 species
AACGCACAUUGCGCCCGCUAGUAUUCUGGCGGGCAUGCCUGUUCGAGCGUCAUUUCAACCCUCAAGCUCUGCUUGGUGUUGGGGGGCUGUCCCACGACAGGCGCUACCUCGCGGUAGGCCCCUAAAAUCAGUGGCGGGCUCGUUGACUCCCCGAGUGCAGUAAAGCCCUCACUCCGGGGUGUUAUAGCGGGACCGGCCGUUAAAAUCCCACUAAAUAAUAAAGGUUGACCUCGGAUCAGGUAGGAAUACCCGCUGAACUUAA